rnacentral:lncRNA from 1 species
CGCACACACCCACCCACCUAACCAAAUAUAUCCAUCAUAUAACAAUAGAGAGGGAGAGAAAGAUCAUCCAUUCAUCGACUACCAUGGCCAUUUCUCUGCUGCCUUACACCGCCUCGGCUCUGCUUGCCAUCGUCAUCGCCGUCGCCAUCGCUGUCGCCCAUGCAGUUGUUCGAUCGGACCAAGAGCCUGGGCCCAGCAUUGAAGCCAUCAACGCCACAUGCGCGACUGCUACGUACAAAUUUGAGUGCACCCAUCUGCUACUAAACAACCUGGAUGUCAGGACGCCUCAAGUGAAGGACGUGAUCGCAAUGUCAGUCCAAGUCGUCGCCAAGAAGGCGGCGGAGGCGGCCGCAUUCGCCAAGGCCAUCAAGAAACCCUCCAAGUGAGUCACCGACUGCCUCGACGACCUCGCCAUACUAUCCAAGCACAUCAAGACGCUCCCGGCGACGCUCGAAACUGCCAACGACGCGGGCUUCUUUGAGCAAUUUGACACAAAGAGAAAAUGUCACGGAGAUUGUUGCCCGGACAACUUCUCGGGCGAGGAAUGCAACGCAAAGAGCCAAAUCGGUGGGGUGUUUGGCGCUCUUCGUGUCACUGAUGACCUGUUGAUGAGGAGGGCGUAUUUUAGGAAGCAGCAGCUUGACAACAAAACAACAUCACCUAACUCUAACUGAAGAGGACAGCCGGUGUGAUUUGCUCUUACAUUGAUAUCGCAUGCGUAUGAAUAAUGGUCCAAUGGAAUUGGGAGCGGAGUAAGAAGCUCAUGUUGCCUUUAUGCAUGUAAUAAUCAUGCCUGCCUGCAUGGCCUGCUAGCUGUUGGUCCAAUGCCUGGCUGCCUGCCUGAACUGGCGUCAAUUUCCAGUUUGUUUUUGUAAUAUAUAAUAACUCUUCUGUAUUGUGCAUUACAUUUGCUGCCAUAACGUCUCCCCCCCCCCCCGUCAUACGCUGUCGGUCACUUCAAGGCUGACCGCGAGGAAGCACCGAAGCAGAAGGCGCUCAUUGCCCAGCAAGGAGAUGAUGGUGACAUGAUGUUGAUGUGUAAACUGGUGGACGAGGAGGAUCCAAAUUCUCAAGCGUUGACUAAAGAAAAUCAAGAAGGAAAAAAUAGAAUGGGCCAGCCUAGUUUGGACUGCUGCAGGCGCCCGUUUGCAAAUUGCAGUGUAAUGGGCGCCUGCAGCGCCAAAUAGGAAAUGCCCACAUAGCAAGGGUUGGAGGAAAAAAACAAUUAAGAUAAUCUAGCCAGCAAGCUUGUCGUCUAUCUAUACUUCUAUAUUAGGUAGGGAGAACAAGUCGAUGGAUUCAUGGCCACAACUAUUAUUGUGAUUGUUAUGUGGCCACAACUAAAUUAGGUAGCUCCUUCUCAACUGCCUGCGCUGAAAUUGGCCAAGCUACUAAAAAUAGGCGUCCAAAAGCAAGGAAGCAUGCAUGCGGUGCUAUCUAUCUAUGUAUCUGGUGUAUGUGUAUGCCUAUAUAAGAAGGGGAACACCAGCUAGCUAAUCUGCUCUCUCGCUGCAAGUGCGCACCCACCCACCCACCUGACCAAAUAUAUCCAUCAUAUAACAAUAGAGAGGGAGAGAAAGAUCAUCCAUUCAUCGACUACCAUGGCCAUUUCUCUGCUGCCUUACACCACCUCGGCUCUGCUUGCCAUCGUCAUCGCCGUCGCCAUCGCUAUCGCCCCUGCAGUUGUUCGAUCGGACCAAGAGCCUGGGCCCAGCAUUGAAGCCAUCAACGCCACAUGCGCGACUGCUACGUACAAAUUUGAGUGCACCCAUCUGCUACUAAACAACCUGGAUGUCAGGACGCCUCAAGUGAAGGAUGUGAUCGCAAUGUCAGUCCAAGUCGUCGCCAAGAAGGCGGCGGAGGCGGCCGCAUUCGCCAAGGCCAUCAAGAAACCCUCCAAGUGCGUCACCGACUGCCUCGAUGACCUCGCCGUACUAUCCAAGCACAUCAAGACGCUCCUGGCGACGCUCGAAACCGCCAACGACGCGGGCUUCUUUGAGCAAUUUGACACAAAGAGAAAAUGUUACGGAGAUUGUUGCUCGGACAACUCCUCGAUCGAGGAAUGCAAUGCACAGAGCCAAAUCGGUGGGGUGUUUGGCGCUCUUCGUGUAACUGAUGACCUGUUGACGAGGAGGGCGUAUUUUAGGAAGCAGCAGCUUGACAACAAAACAACAUCACCUAACUCUAACUGAAGAGGACAGCCGGUGUGAUUUGCUCUUACAUUGAUAUCGCAUGCGUAUGAAUAAUGGUCCAAUGGAAUUGGGAGCGGAGUAGGAAGCUCAUGUUGCCUUUAUGCAUGUAAUAAUCAUGCCUGCCUGCAUGGC